CACGUAGGGUGCGAGCGUUGUCCGGAAUUAUUGGGCGUAAAGAGCGUGUAGGCGGUCAGGUAGGUCCGUUGUGAAAACUCGAGGCUCAACCUCGAGACGUCGGCGGAAACCCUCUGGCUAGAGUCCGGAAGAGGAGAGUGGAAUUCCUGGUGUAGCGGUGAAAUGCGCAGAUAUCAGGAAGAACACCCGUGGCGAAGGCGGCUCUCUGGUACGUGACUGACGCUGAGACGCGAAAGCGUGGGGAGCAAACAGG
rnacentral:rRNA from 1 species